CGAAAUGCGAUAAGUAAUGUGAAUUGCAGAAUUCAGUGAAUCAUCGAAUCUUUGAACGCACCUUGCGCUCCUUGGUAUUCCUUGGAGCAUGCCUGUUUGAGUAUCAUGAAAUCUUCAAAGUAAAUCUUUUGUUAACUCAAUUGGUUUCUACUUUGGUAUUGGAGGUCUUUGCAGCUUCACACCUGCUCCUCUUUGUUCAUUAGCUGGAUCUCAGUGUUAUGCUUGGUUCCACUCGGCGUGAUAAGUUAUCUAUCGCUGAGGACACUGUAAAAGGUGGCCAAGGUAAAUGCAGAUGAACCGCUUCUAAUAGUCCAUUGACUUGGACAAUACUUUUAUGAUCUGAUCUCAAAUCAGAUAGGACUACCCGCUGAACUUAAGC
rnacentral:misc_RNA from 1 species